CCCUGAGACUGCUUUUUCCCACGGUUGCUAAGCUGGCAGGAUGAAAGCCUGGCACCUCUAGUGGCCUGGGAAGCAAACGGAAUGAGAGAAAGGAAGGGUGAUUAACUCAGUCCUGAAAGCGGAGAAGAAGCUGUGCAGCUGCGACGUCUAAGCAGUAACUGGAGGUCCUUCUUCCUGCCACUCUGGGCUGGGCUGGGGUGAGACCAGCGAAGGAGUGGGGGCCUCCGGUGGGAGUCUGGUAUCAACUUUUUCCUGGAGAAUGGUACAGUGAGCCUUAUUAACCAUUCACACCUGAGUAUGAGCAGGCACCGGCUUCUCACUCAAUAACAGGGUCUCGCUAGGGAAGAGAGCAUAGAGCAGAGAGGCCUUGAUGGAACUGGAUGUAAUGGGCAGGGGAGAAGAACGGCGGAACAGCCUCUACUGGCUCCCCUGUCUUCCUGAAAGCUGGCCCUGCUCUUGAUGUUCAGCUGUUUCCUGACCAUGGGGCCACCCAGCUUUCACCUGGGUUAGCCCUGCCUAGGCUAGGGUGGGAGUGGCUGAAUGGCAGGCCCCUGCUUGUCUUUUUUUUUUUUUUUUGCGACAGAGUUUCGCUCUUGUUGCCCAGGCUGGAGUGCAAUGGCAUGAUCUCGGCUCACCGCAACCUCCACCUCCCGGGUUCAAGCGAUUCUCCUGCCUCAGCCUCCCUAGUAGCUGGGAUUACAGGUAUGUGCCACCACACCUGGCUAAUUUUGUAUUUUUAGUAGAGAUGGGGUUUCUCCAUGUUGGUCAGGCUGGUCUCGAACUCCCGACCUCAGGUGAUCCGCCCGCCUCAGCCUCCCAAAGUGCUGGGAUUACAGGCAUGAGCCACCGCACCUGGCCCCUGCUUGUCUUUUUAAGUGCUGCCCCUGAAACUCACAUGUCACCUCUGACCCUCUGCAGCCUGGGGACUGCAGGUCACCUCUUCCCCUGCUGGGCUGCCUCCAGCUUCUGGUGCAGCUGAGAUGACAUCCCCAGAGUCUACAGCCUUGUACCUGGCUCAGAUCACACCCUGACACCCAAUCCUUCCUUCUUCACUUGCAACAUCUGGCUUUGUUGCCAUUUACUUGGGCUGGGGGAAGGCAGGAGUGAGGCCUAGAUGCUGAGGCUGGAAGCAGUGGGCACAUGCAGGUUCCGGAAAGACACAAUCCCCAUAGCGAAGGUCAGCAGCCUGAGGCAUACUGACACCAUGCCCUGAGUUCUGGCUCCCAUGAAUCUCUCUUUAGAGCCAAGAUGCUGCCUCUGGCUUGAAGUCUAGCAUGGUAGACAUUGGUAGGUUUUGUCUGCCAGCUUUUAAUUAUUACAGUGCCCGAUUUUCUUUUGGGAAACAAUCCCUCCUUCAUUCUCAGUCCAUGGGAUUUCAGUGGGGUUGAUCCCAUCCCAAACUCUGGGGCUGAUCAUUAAGUACAGUCCAGCCAUGGGCAUGCAACCCACAUUGGUCCAGUGGGAAUCAGCCUGGGACUACUGCUGGAACUACCAGGAAGAGAUGUGUUCUCUCUCUACAGCUGCUAACUCAUAAAUGCCAAGCCCCAAGCUGCUAGGAAGCAUCUUUAUGUAUCUCUGUUACCACCUGGGGGAAGCCUAUCAGAGAAUUAAGUCAACAGAAAAGACAGCAAAGCUGAGGGCUUAAGAGACACAGAUUUGGUCCCCUAGAUCCAGCUAUGCCUGAAACCAUUACUCUUGGUUUUCAGUUAUGUGAACCAAUAAGUUUCCCCUUUUUUCUUAAGCCAGAUUGAGAUGGGUCUAUUUCUUGUCACCAGGAGAGUCCUGACUGGUACAUCUGGCUCUGC
rnacentral:lncRNA from 1 species